rnacentral:rRNA from 1 species
GAUGAACGCUGGCGGCGUGCUUAACACAUGCAAGUCGGACGGAAAGUGGUGUUUCCAGUGGCGUACUGGUGAGUCACGCGUAAGAACCUCCCCUUGGGAGGGUAACAACAACUGGAAACGGUUUCUAAUACCCCGUAGGCUGAGGAGCAAAAGGAGGCGUCCGCCCGAGGGGGGGCUUGCGUGUGAUGAGCGAGGUGGUGAGGUAAUAGCUUACCCAGGCGAUGGGCAGUAGCUGGUCCGAGAGGGUGAUCAGCCACACGGCGACGGAGACGCGGCCCAGACUCCUAGGGGAGGCAGGAGGGGAGAAUUGUCCGCAAGGGGGAAGCGCCUGACGGAGCAAUGCCGCGUGGAGGGAGGAGGCCCAGGGGGCGUGAACUUCUUGCCUCGGAGAAGAAACAAUGACGGGAACUGAGGAAAAAGCAACGGCUAACUCUGUG